AAUACAGACAGCUCCUGGUGUUCAGUCUGAGUAAACGUUCACCGAGAGACUAUCGAGCCCUUGCCAGUAGCUUGGGAUCUAAAGGAGGCGAGUCGACCAACCUCUCAGAUUCCCGUGAGCACUCGGGUGACAUCUGAUUCUCUCAGAAAUUACUUUGUGGGUUUCCGGGAUUCCUCGGAGGCAAGGUGGGAAUCGAGGGCGACAGGGAACAGAUUCCCUCUCCCUGCUUCAUUCUCUUAGCCGCCCAUCGAUCCGGAUGGUCAAGGUUAUGAGGGAGUCGAGGUCCAUGGGCAGCUCCUGGGCUGUGAGCCCAUCUUUGAUCAACUCUGAUAAUCCGUGAACAUGUUUAACAAUGCUUCUGGGUUCCAGGCACUCUCAGCCACCAACGUACAAAAAUCCACUGUGUCGUCUGCCACACUACGGGAGUCUUGACGUAGCUGGAGCAGUUUACGAGCAGCCUCUCACCCGGACAAUGGAGAAUCGAACACCUUCUGUACUUCUGCCACAAACUCCUCCAGACUGAGGCAGACGGUAGACUGUUGCUCCCAUACCGCUGUAGCCCAGGCGAUUGCCCUCCUGGACAUCAGCAUUAUAAGGUACGCUAUCCUCAAGUGGCCCGAGGGGAACGACGAAGGCUGCAGCUCGAAGGUGAGGAAGCACUGGGAGAGAAAGGCCGGCAGUUUCCAGAAUCUUCAGCGUAGCACUCCAGAGUUGGUAAGAGGGUUUCUCGGGACACUGGGGUAGGCUAGGAAGAAGCGCCGCUGGUGGUGGUGUUGCUGAGAGUCUGGGGAGUUACUGGUGUGGCUUGCUGCCUUGAGGGGAAUCCGCGGAAUCGCUCCAGCAAUGUAUUGAACGCAUGGUCAUGUCGUUCUGCCAGGGUAUGGAGUCCUUCCAUAAGGCAUUGCAGUAACUCCUUGUGUCUUCCAAUGGUGGCUCCUUGCUGGAAGACAGCAUUGUGGAGCUGGUCUGAGUCUGCUUGGAUCAGUCAUGGCCAGUUCGUACUAUCACGACUCAGGAUAUGACCCAUAUGCGGACACAGGAGGCGGAUAGUACAGUUCUCAGGCAGAGGUUCGUUAUCAGGUCAGAGUCAGGCAGGUACAGGACGGCAGGCAGGCUCGGGGUCAGGGCAGGCAGAAUGGUCAAAACCUGGAAAACU
ensembl:lncRNA